CCCAGCAGCCUUGUCACCCUGCAGCUCAAAUCUGGCAACCCCCUGAAGCUCAGCAGGUGUGAGCCUGGCCAGUAUCUGGAUGGGAGACCUCCUGGGAAAGCUAAGGUUGCUGCUGGAA
rnacentral:rRNA from 1 species